UCCUGUGAGCCGAGAUGCUAGCCAGCGACAGCUCCAGGGAAGGUGUGGAAGGGCGGCCCAGGGAGACCAGGCCCCUCACGGCUGGUGCACUGGGCCCCAUCUGUCAUCCGGGCCACAUCUGUCAUCCCGGCCACACAGGAGGCUGAGGCCCGGGAACCCCGGCUCCAAGCCAGUCUGGGGCGGAACUGUCUUGAAGACUCUUCUCACCAGUAAAACAGCCAAAAACUAGUCACGGAGGUGUGGUUUGAGUGUGGACUCGUGCAACGGCCAGUGGAGAAUACAUUUCUGGAACAGCUGGAGGGACGACCAGGGUGAGCCCAGUGGAUGCCGCCAUGUCUUCCAGCCCUGGAUGGGGUGAUGAACGGCGUGAGGUGGCCUGGGCCUAUCUGGUGUCUUCUUUGCGGCUGGAAGGUGUCAGGUCCGAGGUGCCCGCGUGAUUGGCACAGUGGGCUUUUGUAACUUGUCUGCAUGGCGAGCACCCCUUCCGUGGGCUUCUAGAAGGCUCUGGUCCCGUCCCAGGAGGGGGUCCUCGCAGUCACGUCUCCUGCACUCGAACUGUGUGGGACACGCCGGGUUUACACAAGGAUAAAGAAGACGUGUAUUUCACAAUAAAAGACGGCUGCACAC